rnacentral:rRNA from 1 species
CCUACGGGUGGCUGCAGUGAGGAAUAUUGGUCAAUGGACGGAAGUCUGAACCAGCCAUGCCGCGUGCAGGAAGACGGCUCUAUGAGUUGUAAACUGCUUUUGUACAAGGGUAAACCUGAAUACGUGUAUUCAGCUGAAAGUACUGUACGAAUAAGGAUCGGCUAACUCCGUGCCAGCAGCCGCGGUAAUACGGAGGGUGCAAGCGUUGUCCGGAAUCAUUGGGCGUAAAGAGUUCGUAGGCGGCACGUAAAGUCUGGUGUUAAAGGCAGAGGCUCAACUUCUGUACGGCACUGGAUACUUGCGAGCUAGAAUGCGGUAGAGGUAAAGGGAAUUCCUGGUGUAGCGGUGAAAUGCUUAGAUAUCAGGAGGAACAUCGGUGGCGUAAGCGCUUUACUGGGCCGUAAUUGACGCUGAGGAACGAAAGCCAGGGUAGCAAAUGGGAUUAGAUACCCGAGUAGUC